UAUGGCUCANCCAUAGUGUGCUCUGGAGACUGUCUGACUUGAGUGCAGAAGGGGAGAGUGGAAUUCCAUGUGUAGCGGUGAAAUGCGUAGAUAUAUGGAGGAACACCAGUGGCGAAAGCGGCUCUCUGGUCUGUCACUGACGCUGAGGCUCGAAAGCGUGGGUAGCGAACAGGAUUAGAUACCCUGGUAGUCCACGCCGUAAACGAUGAGUGCUAGGUGUUAGGCCCUUUCCGGGGCUUAGUGCCGGAGCUAACGCAAUAAGCACUCCGCCUGGGGAGUACGACCGCAAGGUUGAAACUCAAAGGAAUUGACGGGGGCCCGCACAAGCGGUGGAGCAUGUGGUUUAAUUCGAAGCAACGCGAAGAACCUUACCAGGUCUUGACAUCCCGAUGCUAUUCUUAGAGAUAGGAAGUUACUUCGGUACAUCGGAGACAGGUGGUGCAUGGUUGUCGUCAGCUCGUGUCGUGAGAUGUUGGGUUAAGUCCCGCAACGAGCGCAACCCUUAUUGUUAGUUGCCAUCAUUAAGUUGGGCACUCUAGCGAGACUGCCGGUAAUAAACCGGAGGAAGGUGGGGAUGACGUCAAAUCAUCAUGCCCCUUAUGACCUGGGCUACACACGUGCUACAAUGGUCGGUACAACGAGUUGCGAGCCGGUGACGGCAAGCUAAUCUCUGAAAGCCGAUCUCAGUUCGGAUUGGAGGCUGCAACUCGCCUCCAUGAAGUCGGAAUCGCUAGUAAUCGCGGAUCAGCACGCCGCGGUGAAUACGUUCCCGGGCCUUGUACACACCGCCCGUCACACCAUGAGAGUUUGUAACACCCGAAGNCGGUG
rnacentral:rRNA from 1 species